ensembl:lncRNA novel transcript
AUCUCGCCUCACUGUAGCCGCCACCUCCUGGGCUCAAGUGAUUCUCUUUUCAGCCUCUCAAGUAACUGGGAUUACAGGCACCUGCCACCACACCCGGUAAAUUUUUGUGUUUUUAGUAGAGACGAGGUUUCACCAUGUUGGGAAGGCUGGUCUCAAAUUCCUUACCUCAAAUGAUCCACCUGCCUCAGCCUCCCAGAGUGCUGGGAUUGCAGGCGUGAGCCACCGUGCCUGGGCUAAUUUCCAUUUUCAUUUCAAACAUGCACUCCUAUGGAAAGAAAAAUUACAUGAAGCUUCCUGAGGCCUCCCUAGAAGAUGAGCAGAUGCCAGCACCAAGCUUCCUGUACAGCCUACAGAACGACAGCCGCAUCUUCUCUCACAUCGCCAGCCACAUCCCUGAGACACCAUGGUGAAGGUGAAGGUCAGGGUCAGUGGAUUUGGUCGUAUUGGGCGCCUGGUCAGCAGGGCUAUUUUAACUCUGGUAAAGUGGAUAUUAUCACCAUCAGUGACCCCUUCAUUGAUCUCAAGUACAUGGUCUACAUGUUCCUGUAUGAUUCCACCCAUGGCAAAUUCCAUGGCACCAUCAAGGCUGAGAACGGGAAACUUGUCAUCAAUGGAAAUCCCAUCACCAUCUUCCAGGAGCGAGAUCCCUCCAAAAUCAAAUGGGGCACUGCUGGUGCUGAGUACAUCGUGGAGCCCACCGGCACCUUUACCACCAUGGAGAAGACUGGGGCUCACUUGCAGGGAGGAGCCAAAAGGGUCAUCAUCUCUGCCCCCUCUGCUGAUGCCUCCGUGUUCAUAAUGGGUGUGAACAAUGAGAAGUAUGACAACAGCCUCAAGAUCAUCAGCAAUGCCUCCUGUACCACCAACUGCUUAGCGCCCCGGGCCAAGGUCCUCCAUGACAACUUUGGUAUCGUGAAAGGACUCAUGACCACAGUCCAUGCCAUCACCGCCACCCAGAAGACUGUGGAUGGCCCCUCCAGGAAACUGUGGCAUGACGGUGGUGGGACUCUCCAGAACAUCAUCCCUGCCUCUACUGGCACUGCCAAGGCUGUGGGCAAGGUCAUCCCUGAGCUGAACGGGAAGCUCACUGGCAUGGCCUUCUGUGUCCCCACUGCCAAUGUGUCAGUCGUGGACCUGAUCUACCAUCUGGAAAAACCUACCAAAUAUCAUGGCAUCAAGAAGGUGGUGAAGGAGGCAUCAGAGGGCUCCCUCUAGGGCAUCCUGGGCUACAACACCGAGCACCAGGUUGUCUCCUUCGACUUCAACAGCGACAUCCAUUCUUCCACCUUUGAUGUUGGGGCUGGCAUUGCCCUCAACAACCACUGUGUCAAGCUCAUUUCCUGGUAUGAGAAUGAAUUUGGCUACAGCAACAGGGUGGUGGACGUCAUGGCCCACAAGUCCUCCAAGGAGUAAGACCCCUGAACCACCAGCCCCAGUGACAGCACAAGAGGAAAAGAGAGGCCCUCACUGCUGGGGAGUCCCUGCCACACUCAGUCCCCUGCCACAAUGAGAAUCUCCCCUCCUCACAGUUUCCAUGCAGACCCCCUGAAGAGGGAGUGGCCUAGGGAGCCCCACCUUGUCUUGUACCAUCAACAAAGUCCCCUGUGCUCAGCCAAAAAAAUAAAUACAUAAAAUUUUUUUCUAUAAAGUUUCUAUGGAUUAAUGAUCAAUUCUUAAAUAUUCUAGUUUUGACUGGAAUUUGGAAUAAUAUUUUAUUAUUAUUCCUAGUUUGUAUUGUCAGUGUAGAAGAUAUCAAGAUUUCUUAAGUUGUUCUUAUCUAAAAAUUUUGUUCAAUUCUCUUACUAGUUCUAAUAGUUGGAAGCUUUUUUGGACAGAUGAUUAUAUUAUCUGCAAAUAAUAACAGUUUUAUCUCCUUUCAAGUCUUACCUCUCCUACUUAUUCUUUUUUCCUUAUAGAAUUGGUCACAAGCUUACAGACAAAUGUUAAUUAAUAGGAGUGAUGAUGGGCAUCUUUACAUCAUUUACAAUUUCAGAGAAAAUAUUAAAAAUGCCCCUAAUCUGUGUAACGUUUAACAUCACUUUUAGAGUAGACAACUUUAACAAGUUGAAGAAGUUCCUUUCUAUUUCCAGUUAACAAGUUUUAUUAUACAUAUGUGUUGAAUUGAUCAAGAAGUUUUUCUG